rnacentral:rRNA from 1 species
GAUGAACGCUAGCGGGAGGCCUAACACAUGCAAGCCGAGCGGUAUUUGUUCUUCGGAACAGAGAGAGCGGCGUACGGGUGCGGAACACGUGUGCAACCUGCCUUUAUCUGGGGGAUAGCCUUUCGAAAGGAAGAUUAAUACCCCAUAAUAUACUGGAUGGCAUCAUUCGGUAUUGAAAACUCCGGUGGAUAGAGAUGGGCACGCGCAAGAUUAGAUAGUUGGUGAGGUAACGGCUCACCAAGUCUGCGAUCUUUAGGGGGCCUGAGAGGGUGAUCCCCCACACUGGUACUGAGACACGGACCAGACUCCUACGGGAGGCAGCAGUGAGGAAUAUUGGACAAUGGGUGAGAGCCUGAUCCAGCCAUCCCGCGUGAAGGACGACGGCCCUAUGGGUUGUAAACUUCUUUUGUAUAGGGAUAAACCUACUCUCGUGAGAGUAGCUGAAGGUACUAUACGAAUAAGCGCCGGCUAACUCCGUGCCAGCAGCCGCGGUAAUACGGAGGGUGCAAGCGUUAUCCGGAUUUAUUGGGUUUAAAGGGUCCGUAGGCGGAUCUGUAAGUCAGUGGUGAAAUCUCACAGCUUAACUGUGAAACUGCCAUUGAUACUGCAGGUCUUGAGUGUUAUUGAAGUAGCUGGAAUAAGUAGUGUAGCGGUGAAAUGCAUAGAUAUUACUUAGAACACCAAUUGCGAAGGCAGGUUACUAAGCAACAAC